UACGGAGGAUCCAAGCGUUAUCCGGAUUUAUUGGGUUUAAAGGGUGCGUAGGCGGAUUGAUAAGUUAGAGGUGAAAUGUCCGAGCUCAACUCAGGAACUGCCUCUAAUACUGUUGAUCUAGAGAGUAGAUGCGGUAGGCGGAAUGUAUGGUGUAGCGGUGAAAUGCUUAGAGAUCAUACAGAACACCGAUUGCGAAGGCAGCUUACCAAUCUAUAUCUGACGUUGAGGCACGAAAGCGUGGGGAGCAAACAGG
rnacentral:rRNA from 1 species